CAAUCAAAUGUCUUUCUUUUGCUUUCACAUUUAUUCUGUAAAUGCUUGCUUCUGAUUAUUUAGUCAUCAGAACAUUAGACCUCUUUCGACUUGGUGUUUCCCAAUUAAUGAAUGGCUUCGUAGUCAAACUUUUUAAAAUUUUGUUUCUCAAUUUACCUUUUAUAGGAGCAUAGAAGUUUGGGCAGGAAGUCAGCACGCACCUGACACAUUCAACCUUGGCUUCAGGAUGAGCUUGAUCCAUGGGAUUGUUUGUGGUGUGCUGCUCAUCGCCAUUUGCAUUUCCACCCUUUCUUGCCACAUACAAGUAAACUGUUCUAGACAAAAAGCGAACAUGUUUUUCCAAACUGCAGAUACAACAAAUCAAGCAUCAUUCCAGAACGAGGAAAUUAGAUGCAGAGUUAAUACAAAAAGCUGCAAGUCUUCAGACAAAAAAAAAAAGCUGAAGAUUCUAAAAUCCUUUUUUACUAAUAAAAGAAGUCUUCCUCCACCUGAGCAGCCAUAACCCGGGUUCUUCCUGUCCUCACAAACUAAGAGAAAUCUCUCUUCAAUUGCUUGCACCCUAGAUUUCAUUCUUCAAUUUAGUCUGUUGUGCUGUUUCUCUAUUAAAAAGAAGAUAAGAAUUUAAAAUCAAUUGUAGGGGGUGGGUAAGAGGGGAUCAGGGAAAAACAAACAACACAUUUAAUAUGCAAAAAUGCAAUGUUAUCUGCUGAUGCUAAUGUAAACAGUACUGUCUUUGAUUUGACUAAUAUGCACUAUACUCAUGCUGGGAAAAACCAU